UAUUUAAGAAUCUCAGUCACAUAAUAUGCACUCCUUUUCCUUCUGUUGAUAUUCCCCAGGGAAAUGUUUAAGACGCUGCAUGUGAACAAAUAGUUAUUUCGUUAUGCAAAAAGAAAUUAAAUUUCUGCUGUUGGCAACAGAACUAAAACAGCAAAUCUUGGUUGACUUCUUUCCAAAGAUCACCCCAGGUAGCCAUCUCACAGCAUCCAUCUAUCGAUUCUCCCUGCGCAAGGUGAAGAAGAAACCACUGGAGAAGGUAUUAAGAAGAUGAAUGAGUGUCUUUGGGUUAGAAUGUCUCCCCUGACUACUGACCUGCCCAAGGUUCAUACAAAAUCAUUGUCUAAGUUUCUUCAGAUCAUGGACCAUGUGUCUAAUCUACACUGUUAAUGCUUUAUUCACGUAGAAUUAGAAGGUUCCAAGUGAAACAUCAUUGGAGUGAAUUCCCAUGCUCAAGAGGCUAUUAGUCUCUGUGGUCAAGAAGGUGGCAUUACAGUGGGAUUUCCAUCUUUCAUGAUGCCUUCCUUACCUUGUAUCUUACCUACCAUAUACACACAUUACUGCUUUUGACCAUGAUGUUUGUGUAAUAUAUGCCUUUAUUUGUUUUAAUUUCAUUAGCUUAGCCUAAUGCUCUUCAGCCAACCUUUCUUUUGAGAAAUCAAGUAAUAAAAUAAGUAAUAUUGUUUCCCA
ensembl:lncRNA